rnacentral:rRNA from 1 species
GACGAACGCUGGCGGCGUGCUUAACACAUGCAAGUCGAACGGAAAGGCCCUGCUUUUGUGGGGUGCUCGAGUGGCGAACGGGUGAGUAACACGUGAGUAACCUGCCCUUGACUUUGGGAUAACUUCAGGAAACUGGGGCUAAUACCGGAUAGGAGCUCCUGCUGCAUGGUGGGGGUUGGAAAGUUUCGGCGGUUGGGGAUGGACUCGCGGCUUAUCAGCUUGUUGGUGGGGUAGUGGCUUACCAAGGCUUUGACGGGUAGCCGGCCUGGGAGGGUGACCGGCCACAUUGGGACUGAGAUACGGCCCAGACGCCUACGGGAGGCAGCAGUGGGGAAUAUUGCACAAUGGGCGGAAGCAGGAUGCAGCAACGCCGCGUGCGGGAUGACGGCCUUCGGGUUGUAAACCGCUUUCGCCUGUGACGAAGCGUGAGUGACGGAAAUGGGUAAAGAAGCACCGGCUAACUACGU